rnacentral:rRNA from 1 species
AUUGAACGCUGGCGGCAUGCUUUACACAUGCAAGUCGAACGGCAGCACAGGGAGCUUGCUCCCGGGUGGCGAGUGGCGCACGGGUGAGUAAUACAUCGGAACGUGUCCUGUUGUGGGGGAUAACUGCUCGAAAGGGUGGCUAAUACCGCAUGAGACCUGAGGGUGAAAGCGGGGGAUCGCAAGACCUCGCGCAAUUGGAGCGGCCGAUGUCCGAUUAGCUAGUUGGUGAGGUAAUGGCCCACCAAGGCGACGAUCGGUAGCUGGUCUGAGAGGACGACCAGCCACAUUGGGACUGAGACACGGCCCAGACUCCUACGGGAGGCAGCAGUGGGGAAUAUUGCACAAUGGGGGAAACCCUGAUGUAGCGACGCCGCGUGGAGGAAGAAGGUCUUCGGAUUGUAAACUCCUGUUGUUGGGGAAGAUAAUGACGGUACUCAACAAGGAAGUGACGGCUAACUACGUGCCAGCAGCCGCGGUAAAACGUAGGUCACAAGCGUUGUCCGGAAUUACUGGGUGUAAAGGGAGCGCAGGCGGGAAGACAAGUUGGAAGUGAAAUCCAUGGGCUCAACCCAUGAACUGCUUUCAAAACUGUUUUUCUUGAGUAGUGCAGAGGUAGGCGGAAUUCCCGGUGUAGCGGUGGAAUGCGUAGAUAUCGGGAGGAACACCAGUGGCGAAGGCGGCCUACUGGGCACCAACUGACGCUGAGGCUCGAAAGUGUGGGUAGCAAACAGGAUUAGAUACCCUGGUAGUCCACACUGUAAACGA